rnacentral:rRNA from 1 species
AUUGAACGCUGGCGGCAGGCCUAACACAUGCAAGUCGAACGGUAGCACAGAGAGCUUGCUCUCGGGUGACGAGUGGCGGACGGGUGAGUAACGUCUGGGAAACUGCCCGAUGGAGGGGGAUAACGACUGGAAACGGUAGCUAAUACCGCAUAACGUCGCAAGACCAAAGUGGGGGACCUUCGGGCCUCACACCACCGGAUGUGCCCACAUGGGAUUAGCUAGUAGGUGGGGUAAUGGCUCACCUAGGCGACGAUCCCUAGCUGGUCUGAGAGGAUGACCAGCCACACUGGAACUGAGACACGGUCCAGACUCCUACGGGAGGCAGCAGUGGGGAAUAUUGCACAAUGGGCGCAAGCCUGAUGCAGCCAUGCCGCGUGUAUGAAGAAGGCCUUCGGGUUGUAAAGUACUUUCAGCGGGGAGGAAGGCGGUGAAGUUAAUAACUUCACCGAUUGACGUUACCCGCAGAAGAAGCACCGGCUAACUCCGUGCCAGCCGCCGCAGUAA